ACGUAGGGUGCGAGCGUUAAUCGGAAUUACUGGGCGUGAAGCGUGCGCAGGCGGUUUUGUAAGUCAGAUGUGAAAUCCCCGGGCUCAACCUGGGAACUGCAUUUGAGACUGCAAGGCUAGAGUGUGGCAGAGGGGGGUAGAAUUCCACGUGUAGCAGUGAAAUGCGUAGAGAUGUGGAGGAAUACCGAUGGCGAAGGCAGCCAACUGGACCAAUACUGACGCUCAUGCACGAAAGCGUGGGGAGCAAACAG
rnacentral:rRNA from 1 species